CAAAGAUUAAGCCAUGCAUGUGACAGGAUC
rnacentral:rRNA from 1 species